rnacentral:rRNA from 1 species
UACAGAGGGUGCAAACGUUGCUCGGAUUUACUGGGCGUAAAGCGCGUGUAGGCGGGCAUGAAAGUCGGACGUGAAAUCCCUGGGCUCAACCCAGGAACUGCGUUCGAAACUCCAUGCCUAGAGUAGUGGAGAGGAAAGUAGAAUUCCCGGUGUAGAGGUGAAAUUCGUAGAUAUCGGGAGGAAUACCAGUGGCGAAGGCGGCUUUCUGGACACUUACUGACGCUGAGACGCGAAAGCGUGGGGAGCAAACAGG